GAGAAAAAAAAAAAAAGCUCAACUCUGGCAUGAUUUUGUCUGUCUUUUGGCAGGUUUUUCUUGUUUACCGAAGCAGGAGGAGCUGUUGAUGGAAUGCAGCCAUUUGUUUGACCCUUUGGCCGUCUCGAGGAGGAAGGCCGGAGACAGGAGACGCGGCAGCUCGCUUCUCCUUGUCAGUUGCAGGCUCCACGUCAGGCUGUUUGGCGCAUCAGCUUUCCUGUGAAGCCCCCGACGCUGCUGCAGACAGCAGAGAUGGAUGCUUACACGGUGGAAAGUGCAAAAUUAAAAGGAAGAGUCUGAUGAAGUGGCAGGAGGCACCUCCGGAUAGAGACGAAGGAGAUGGAAUGAUCAUCCUGACUUGAAGGCUGAAGCGCCGAGGAGAGGCUGAUGGAUGUGAGGCAAGGGGGGAAGAUGUUUGUGUGGUAAAAAAAAAAAAAAAAAAAAAAAAAAGAGAGAACAACUGAAAAUGUUUCUGUGUGAUCCUUGUUGCAAUGUGGGCCGGGCAUAUAUUUCUCAGCUGGCAGGUUGGUCUCCUUUUUCUUUUCACGGUUAGUUUUUUUGUUUUUGGUCAAA